AAAAUGCGAUAAGUAAUGUGAAUUGCAGAAUUCAGUGAAUCAUCGAAUCUUUGAACGCACAUUGCGCCCGCCAGUAUUCUGGCGGGCAUGCCUGUUCGAGCGUCAUUUCAACCCUCAAGCCCCCGGGUUUGGUGUUGGGUGUUUGUCCCCGUCUCCGCGCGUGGACUCGCCCCAAAGUGAUUGGCAGCCGGCGUACUGGUCCCGGAGCGCAGCACAUGUCGCGCAAACGAGUGCCUUGGUACGGCGGCGUCCAUAAGCCCCUCUCUCACGCUCUUGACCUCGGAUCAGGUAGGGAUACCCGCUGAACUUAAGC
rnacentral:misc_RNA from 1 species